rnacentral:lncRNA from 1 species
UAGCAACAUGGACCGACUAGGAAGAGUAACAACAUGCACAGAAUUGUCUCUCAUCUUAGAAAAUGCAUAGUCGCUUUAAUUUUUUGCCGUUCUCUAAAAACUUGCUUGCCUCUGAAAUGUUGAUGAAGUUCUUAGUAGACAGUCAGAGAAAUGCUCUAAUCCUGGAUCUAGUGGAGAAGGACGUCCUUUCAGGAGCAGUGGCUUGUUCCAGGAGAACAACACUUCAGGAAGUCUUCUCAGUCAUGAUGAGGAGGUUGAAAAGGUUUGGAAUGGGCCCUCAAAUCCUCAAAGUUCUACAGCUGCACCGUUGAGAGCAUCUGGACUGGCUGCAUCGCUGCUUGGUAUGGCAACAGCACCGCCCUCGAUCACAUGGCGCUACAGAGGGUGGUGCAGACAGCUGGUACAUCACUGGGGCCCAGCUCCCUGCCAUCCAGGACCUCUAUAUCAUGCGGUGUAAAAGGAAUGCCCGGAAAAUUGUUGGAUUCCAGCCACCCAAGCCAUACACUGUUCUCUCUGUUUCCGCACAGCAAGCGGUACCGCUGCAUCAAGUCUGACACCAACAGGCUCCUGAACAGCUUCUAUCCCCAAACAAUAAGACUGCUAAAUAGCUAACAAAAUGGCUACACGGACUGAGUUCACCCUUUGUGUAACAUUUAUAUUUUUGCACUGUCUCUAUGCAGACUCGCAGCACUUUAUACACACACACUGACACUCCAACACACAUGACAUGCACACACCUGUAUACUGACUCUAUAUACACAUACACACACAGUCAUUUACGCUGCUGCUACUCUGUUAAUCAUAUAUUCUGAUGCCUAGUCACCUGACCCCUCUAUCACCAGUAUGCCUGCACAAUGUCAAUAUGCUAUUGGAACUGACCCUGUAUAUAGCUUCUUAUUUUAUUUUCUUGUUUUUGUUCUAAAGUAUGUUAUUUUUAAGUACUACAUGAAUCACUGCGUUGUUGGGUUUAGAGCUAGCAAGAAGGGCAUUUCACUGUACUUGUGAAUGUGACAACUUGAAACUUGAAUUAAAGCAGAUGGUGUUAACAAACUAACCUUUUUCUUGUUGGCCUAUUUCGUUUCAAUCAAAUCAGAUAAGAAAUUACAGGUGUUUUUGGUGUAACAUUAUAGGUCUAUGUUACAGUAUAUUCUAUUCAGUUUUAUUAUGUAAAAUACUAAUGAAUCAUUAUAGGAUCUUGCGAGACAGAGCACCACUGUG